AGCACUUUGCAGGUCGUCAAGAAAAUGUAAUUCUUCGAGACAGGAACCGAUAAGUGUUGUAAAAAGGCACGUUUUGUGCACUGUAAGUUCAUCUAGUGGGUUAUGAGUUGCUAGCGAGCGCUUUUCUAUUGAGCACGACCUACUUUUAAACGAGGUUAAGCUAGUUCAGGAUGUUAGCUGAACGUUAGCUUGUAUCGCUGCACGUGAAUGUGGAUGUCCCUGUUCGGUUAUUAGGUAUGUCAGCUGAAGAAAGGGAGUUUCAGUGAAAGGACCAGUGUGGACCUGAUAGGCAGGGUCGACCUGCUGCAGUGGAAGUGAGUAGAGAGGAUUUCUGGAAACAUCUAGCAAGAGCAAUUGACGGGUUUGUAUUUAUUUUGAGGUAAUUCAUUACUAAA